ACCUGGAAGGCUCAGUCGGUUAAGCGUCUGACUUCAGCCCAGGUCACGAUCUUAUGGUUUGUGGGUUCGAGCCCUACUUCAGGCU
rnacentral:tRNA from 1 species